GUGCUAAGGAUCGAACCCAGUGCCUCAUGCAUGCUAGGCAAGCGCUCUGUCACUGAGCUAUUGCCCUGACCCUCCUUCUUUAAUUUCUGAUUUUAGUUAUUUCCUCUCUCUUUUUUUCUUAGUUGAUCCAGUUUGUCUGUGAAUUUGACUAUUCUAGGUGCCUCAGAUAAGUGAAAUUAUAUAAUAUCUUUCCCCUUUGUGUCUGGCUUAUUUCCCUUAGCAUCACUUUUUUUUUUAAUUGCAUUUUCUUGAAACUUAGACACGUAGAAGGGAUAUUUAAGCAUUAUAUAGUUAUCUUCAAAGAUGAUGAAACUGAGGAGGAAGGUGAUUAACUGACUUGAUUCAGGUCACAAACUAGUUAGAGGCAGGGUAAGGGCUGAAGCUCAGGUCUCCUCUCUCCAGGGUGUCUCAAGUCCUCUACAAAUCUGCAAAUAGGUAAAAGCAAACAGAUACAGAACAGCCACAAUCAUUAGGCUUUGAUGAUAAAUUUAGCUGUAGAACCUUAUUUCCCCUAAUCUUUAGGUAAGAAAGAGAAGAGGAUGAUGGGAUUCAUCAUCUCUAGAUUCUUAGAAUCAACUACUAGCUCCUCCAUAUUUAAGAUCCCAAAGUCCCAGGCUCCAGUCCUGGAUCUGACAUUCCCUUUAAUGAAUAUAAUCCACAUUUUUUUUUUCAACAAUGAAAAUGUUGAUAAUAAAACCUACCUCACAGGGUGUUAUUACCCAUCUGGCACCUACUGGGUACUUAUUACAUGAAAGUGAUUGAUGGUGAUGAUGAUGAUGAUGAUGAUGAUGAUGAUAGAUAGAUAAUCAGGGAGAUGAAGGAAGAGUUAGACUGUGGUUCCCCCAAACUGCAUUGCCCUUUGCUCACUUGAAGCCAGUUGAGAUCUGCCUGGGGGAUUCUGGCCAGCAAAUUAUGAAAGCUUGCUUGAUCAAACUCUUUUCUCUGCUUGGCAAUAUGAAGAUACAAAUGUGUAUCUGAUGGGGGAAAAUAUGUAAAAGUGUCACGUGGGACUCACCUUUCUACUAAACUUCAGGGAAGAGACCACCUGCCCCUGCACUGUGGGGUCAACACAGGAGGAGAAGCCAAUCCAAGAGCCAAUGGUGUCAUGGAGUAGCCUUGGGAGACUCACCUCCCAGCCAUGACCAGAGAGAGGCAAGAAUGGCUUUACUCAGCCAGACAGCCUUUGCUCAAGACCAUCUGGGGAUGAGCUGCUCACUCUGGAUGGUGCUGCCCGAUAGAAAACAAAACAAAGACCUGGAAGUGAAGCUCAGUAGUGCUUAUGAAGCAUGCGCAAGGCCCUGGGUUCAUCCCCACACCAUAAACCAAACCGAACCAAACUCCCCAAACUGUCUUCUCUUGGGAUAAAAUCUGCCUCUCUGAACUUUUUGGACCUUCUGCCUAUGGAAUGACCCAGGGGAACUUCAUCUCCACACCAUACGAUAGAGAUUUAAAUAUUUGGGGACAACCAUCACAACCCCCAGAAGGAUCCUUCCAUGAGAGAGCCAUUCUCUGUUACAAUUCUUCCACUUCCUCCAGAAUGCCUAGUAGGUGCUUGGUAGGUUGAAUUGGUGGGUUAGUAAGUGAAUGAAUUAUGAUGUGUCAUUCAUUUUCCUCAUGACCUUGGUCAUCCUUCUUUGGAUGUGCCCCAGUGUCUGUCCCAAUGUUGUUCAAAAUGUGGUUUCCUGUAUUGGACACUAGGUUCCACAUGAGUCUGAGCCAUCUGGAGGCCAAGAGUUGGUACCUCUUCUUUGCAGAACACUUUGCUUCUGUUUGGGUGGCUAAAGGUUGUGUUCGUUUUCUUGGCAGCUGUGUCUAGCCCACUGUUGACUCAUCCUGGGCUUAAGAUCAGCAGAAAUGCCUAAUGCAACUUAAACAUGUUGAUUGCCAGUUUCCCCACCUGAUUAUUAAAGGUAGAGAUUUUUGAAAGGGUAAAAAAGAAAUCAAUCAUUAACAUAGCU
rnacentral:lncRNA from 1 species